rnacentral:rRNA from 1 species
UACGGGGGGGGUAAGCGUUGUUCGGAAUUACUGGGCGUAAAGGGCUCGUAGGCGGCCAACUAAGUCAGACGUGAAAUCCCUCAGCUUAACUGGGGAACUGCGUCUGAUACUGGAUGGCUUGGAUUCGGGAGAGGGAUGUGGAAUUCCCGGUGUAGCGGUGAAAUGCGCAGAUAUCGGGAGGAACACCAGUAGCGAAGGCGACCCCCUGGUUGGAUACUGACGCUGAGACGCGAAAGCGUGGGGAGCAAACAGG